ACGGAGGGUGCGAGCGUUAUUCGGAAUUACUGGGCGUAAAGCGCGUGCAGGCGGGGGGGUAAGUCAGAUGUGGAAGCCCUGGGCUUAACCCGGGAAGUGCAUUUGAAACUGUCUUGCUUGAGUAGUGGAGAGGAAGGGGGAAUUCCCGGUGUAGAGGUGAAAUUCGUAGAGAUCGGGAGGAAUACCAGUGGCGAAGGCGCCCUUCUGGCCGGUUACUGACGCUGAGACGCGAAAGCGUGGGGAGCAAACAG
rnacentral:rRNA from 1 species